UAAUAAAAUACUGUCAAUACAAGAAAAUUUCCCCAGAAGCUUGUAAAUACGAAGUCAUGCAUUCUAUGACGGAAUACAAGUCUAAAACUAAACAAUAAUAACAUUGUCUGAAUUGUAACAACAAUAUGUAAGGAAAAGACAAGUCAAAACUGUGACCAAAGAUGCAGUUUUACCUCGCCUCUCGAAAAUAGUCCAACAAGCAAGCCUACUGCUGAUAAUUGGUCCCCACACUUGAAACUACACAAUUAAGUAUAGAGUGCAGUGUGGGUACAACCGACCCAGUGUACUACAUAAGUAUCAUAACUAACUUCGGCGAGGUAAAAGAAGCGCAAAUUAUAAAUGAUACCAGCGCUCACUUGUACAGUUUCAUCAUCUAAACAAAAUAUAGAACAAUAACGAAGUCAUGUCAUAAAGCACAUAAAAAAUUAUUUUUUUGUGUGUGUAUAAUUACUCAAAUAUUUAAUUCGGUCAAUGUUCAGUAUAUAAAGAUGAUACGCAGAUAAUCAGACAUUAAACCAUGAAAAUUGCGAGUAAAGAUGAAAUGCAAUCCCAAAAUAACACUGGCCAAACUUUCCUUUAACUUUUUUCAUAUCUGUACUAAACCACUUACAAGUUUUUCUCAAUAACUGCAUAUACACCAUCAAGAGAGAAACAUGAGAGGGUGACCAUAGGGGGAUGGAUCUGUAUCCACAUGCUGCAUGGGGAAUUUAUGUGUGUACGGAUAACUCACGUACUAAUAUAUAACCCCAAACAGGCAACUCACACGCUAAUAACAAAUAAUUUCAUAAUCGAAUAGCAGUUUUAUUAAUUCCAACAAGAAAAAUCACCUCAAUGAAACCUCAACGUGGUACAAACAACUCACAGAAGGGUACACACAGGAGAACAUCUUAGUUUGAUGUUUAACAAUCAAUUCAAGGCAUGACAUAGCCUAAACAUUACCCCGAGCAUGACUAAAUAACCAGGUGUUAGCACAUAGGCUCAAACCCCACAGAUGUACGCAUCCCCAGCACGUAUCUAUCACAAAUAAUUUAGGCAACUGGUACCUCAACCAAGUCUAGAUAAGAUACUUACCUCAAGCAAACCAAAUCACUCUGCUAUCAAGACCUUCGCGUGUGUAUCAACCUCUGGAAGGCUCGAAUCGAUCCAAAAUAAUGUAAUACUAUUAUUAAAAGCUAUAGGAAGUGAUUCCAAAAAAUAAAAGAUCUUUAAUCAAAAAGUCAAACUCGGGCUCGCACCUUGUAAUCCGACAAAAUUUAUAAAUUCCGAACAUUCAUUCAAUUACGAGUCUGACCAUAUGAAAAUCAUCUAAUUCCAACCACAAAUUGUCCCUCAAAUCUUCAAUUUUUGUUCUCCCCUAACAUAGUCCAAAAAUUUUCAAAUUCUAACAUAGAUUCAUGAGAAAUAGGUGAAAUAAUCAAUACGUAUCCGAUAUUUAUGGACAAAAGUGAUUAAAAGUCAUUUACCUCCAAUCUAGGUGAAUACCUCUCCAAAAAUUACUUUAUCUGAACUAUAAAACUGCCAAAACGAAAGAAAGGCUCAAACCCUUGAUUUUAAAUCAGUGCCACCGAUUCCACUUUUGCGGACAAAACUAACGUACAUGCGCUUUCGCUUUUGCUUCGCAUCUGCGAAGAUAAUUAAAGAUCCAACCAGCUACUUUUGCAGCCAAAAUCCUGCACAUACGAAAGCGCAUCCGCAUCCCCUCGCUUGCACCUUCAGAUGGCCUUACGCAUUUGCGACCAACGCCAAGCCAUCUUACUCUGAAACAUAUGAAGAUUAAUACCUACUUUAUAUGAACAUAGUGAUCUAUUCAAAGUAUUUCAUGAACAAAGGUUGUUGAUCUGCCUGCUAAAGAAGGUCAUUAUUGUAAAAAAAGAAGUUUAAUUGGAUAGGUGUAUUUAAGCAGGCGGCUACGAGUCUAAUAGUGCAUGUUAAUAUUGAAUCAGGUAUUACUAUGGUAUACACUUUCGUUCUCGUUAUACUUUUUGUUCAGAUCCACCCCUACCGUUAACAAUCUUUCUAAAGUUACCUUUAACUCUAACGUCCCUUCAUCGUGGCACCAAAUCCCUUUAUUAAUUUGUCCACACCAGUUGCCAUAUCAGCAGGUCCCACGUUAAAAUUAACUUGGUUAUCACACAUGUCUGUUACAUUCUUCUCAUUCCCAUUAACUUCAACAACAUUGUCAGUGACCAAUUUGUGCAAAAGAUCAAACUGUCGGAGGAACCCAUUUCGUCUUCUUCAAAUUUUCUUAGAACCAUAACAAUGUAGUUUCUAAGUUUCUUCAACAACUUGGUGGUAUGAUUAAUUCAUAAACUCAUAUCAGCAACAACAAACAAUGUUUACCCAUAAUUUCAAUUUUGCUUUUAGAUAUGGGUUUGAAAAAUUCAAGCUCCAAAGCUUUCUCAAUAGUGGUUUAGCUCCUAUGUACAAAUCUCACCUCCCUAUUCGCUGAUAAAAAUUAUAGCUCCCGAAGUGAUGCAUUGAGCUCUUCAACUAUUUCACAUUGAAGUUAAAGAAAAAUCAAACAAAACCCCAAAACCACCAUUAAAGCACCACGUAAGCUUAUAGCCAUCCGCCAAAACCUAUAAACGAGCCGCUGCCGAACUCCCCCACCAGAAUAUUCUAGUAACGACAUCCCUAAACAAAUCAUCAUAGCCAAUACCUUGUUUUUUACCAACGAAAAAAAUCCAAAUAUCCAAUGUCCACCGGUAAACUUUGCCACUUAUCAACAAGAAAACCCCGAUCCACUUCUCCUGUUUCAUCUAUAAGAUUUCACUAAAAUACCAAAUUGGUACCUUUCUGUUACGAUAGAACUGCGUUGGAUUUCCUUAGAAGUGAGCUUUUUAUGAACUUUGUUGAAUUUAUGCAGAUUAAGAUUAAAGGGGAUGACGAUGGAAAGGGAGAGAAAGUGAGGGGUUCGGAUAAGUGGGAGUGGUAAAGGAGGAAUAAAUGGGUACUAUCUAGAGGCGGAUCUAAGAAUUCAAGUUUGUGGGUGCUGAAUUUUUUUGUACAUAAAAUUAAUGGGUGCUUUUGUAAAUUUUUAUACAUUUUCUUAAAUUUUUUAUAUGAUUAUACAUAUUCUGCGUCAAAGUUAAUGGGUGUUCGAACAUCCAAUUUUUAUGAAUAAAUCCGCCCAUGAUACUAUCAUACAUGGGAUUAGAGAUGAGUAGCUUGAAGUGGCAGAAGGGAGGAGGUUCGAGUGACUUGGCAGCUGAUUAGGAAAAAAUAGAGAGGGUGAGUUGCCACCAUAUAAAUCCGUUAGAAUUCGGGAUAAUUUUAAAAAGAUUGUUAACGAUAAGGGUAGAUCUUUACCAAAAAAUAUAACGGAGAACAAACUUAAAUUAUAUGCUAUAAUAGAAGUAUAAUUUUGGACAUUUUCCCUAUCUUAAUUUGGGAUGAGUCUCUUUAAUUCUAAGGUGUCAAGUGACAGUCCGUCAAAUUGAGAGGAAGAUUUGAACAAUAGUAUAACAGUGAUUAUUUUAUAAAUGGAGAAGGCCUAAAAUUACCACUCAAUUUUCAAAAAUGGUCUAUUUAUAUCAUUCGUUAAAAAAUAUUUAUUUCAUGUCACUGCCAUUAAAAAAAUGGCUCAUCCAUGUCAUUAAAGAAAUAGCUUAUUCAUGCCAUUAUUAAAUAACUAUAGUGGCAUGGAUGAGCCAAAUGAAAAUUGAACAGUUAGUCAAUAAUGAUAUGGAUGAGCCAUUUCUUUAACGUUAAUAAUAUAAAAAUAAUAAUUCUUUAACGAAUGAUAUAAUUUUAAAAGUUGGGUGGCAUUUUUAAGUCAUUUAAAAUUUAUAAAAUAUAUGACUUGCCUUAUCUUUUUCCAAAACAUACAUGAAUGUGACCCAUAUUUUGAUCAUGCAAAACUCUCUCAAUUCCCAAGAAAUUUGACCUCUUUCCCAACUCUCUUCACAGAAAAUGUCCAAAACAAUUUUCUCUCUUUUCAAAUUAUAGUACAACUCUUUCAGCGUUAUAUACAACCAGUUAUGCAUCACUUGCCUCCCAAUAUAUUAACCCUCCUCUCCCCUUUCUCUGGAGCAUCAAGAACAAUGGGUUUCAAUUUAAGAAUCCAACUGGGUAUUCUCCUACUACUUCUCUUAUCCCUAUACACUUCUGCCAACAACACAACAGUAUAUGAAAUCCUCACAAAAUACAGCCUUCCUAAAGGGCUUUUACCAGACUCUGUAAAAUCCUAUUCUCUUUCCAAAGAUGGCAAUUUUGAAGUUGAACUAGAGAAGCCUUGUUAUGUUGAGUUUGAAUACUUAGUUUAUUAUGCUGAGAAGAUUACUGGUAAGCUAAGUAUUGGGUCAAUUACUGACUUAGAUGAGUUUGAAUACUUAGUUUAUUAUGCAGAGAAGAUUACUGGGAAGCUGAGUAUUGGGUCAAUUACGGACUUAGAAGGAAUCCAAGUAAAAAGAUUCUUUCUUUGGUUAAAUGUGAAUGAGAUCCGUGUGGAUUUGCCGUCAU
rnacentral:lncRNA from 1 species